CCGGUCCUUGAAAGAGCGUAAUCAGUCUAGCUCGUCAUGACUCGAUCAUGGCCUUAGGCUGAAUGGGUCCUGUCCGGCAGAAAUAUACCGGCAAGCACAGAGCAGUCGUCCACAGGGGUUCCUUAGAGUGGUCUCACCCAAACUAUAGAGAAAGAUAGACCGAUGCACAGAAGUCUUCCCAAGUCGGUUGCUUAAGGUGAUUCGUCUGACCAGUCCAAGAGGAAUGGGAUCUUAGUAGAUCUGAUUUCGCGAGAUUCGAUCCCCAAUAUGAGACUGGAUGCCGAAGCUUUCUAAUAAGAAUGUAGAAUAGAAGAUAUAAGACCAUAGAUGAUUGACCUCGAAGAUAUAAGACCAUAGAUGAUUGACCUCAUAGUUCCCUAAUACCAUGACUUAAACAACUGACUCGUAUUGGAACCUUGUUUAUAUUGUUUUUCGUAGAGGUACAUAGGGAUCGAUCGGGGCAUUGCCAGGGCGGUGGGAGACAAGUGACUAACUACAGUGACAAGGAAAGCAAUGGAAUGUGUAAACUAUCAAGCAUGCUGUAGCGCCUCCACCAUGUCAUUUCUUUCCAGAUAUCCGAUGGUGCCUGUGGAACUGUUGUGGCGGGGGCAGGAUUUGCACCUUAAUUCUUCAAAUACGGAGCCUUUCUAGUGCACCAUUACUCUACCCCGCUUCGUACCCUUAUCCUUCGUAUCCUUCAUCGUCGUUGGUCCUUGUAAAUCUAUGGCUUUCUUCUAUAUAUGAGAAUUGAUAGAAAACAGCGCUCCUAAAUAAAGCCCCCCCCCCCAACCAAUUCAAGAGUACGCGAAAGGCUGGCUCUUCUUCUUUUGAGAAUGAAGGGGAUCUGACUUCUUAGAAGGAGAUGGGCUACCUAUAUCUUUGUAUGUACGGGUCUCGAUAAUGGAAGAGAGAACAGAAGAAAGGUAAGGUCAGUGUAGAGAAGCUCGGUAAGUUAGAGUGUUCGUCUUCCCCCGACCGAAGGAGAAAGAAAGGAAUCAAUCACCCAAGCAAAAACAAAGACAGAGUUCUAUAAGUGGGGCGCCCAGUGGAAUCGAUUUCAGUAUGCCGGAAAUAUGGGUUUCAUAGAGAACAGAACUUUGACUGCGCCCAAGGAUAUUGAGUCUACUAAGCUUUUGCAGUUGAGGCUUUCCUUCUUGCUAUAAGCCUUUCCUUCUCUCCCCAAGAGCAAACCAUGGCAUUCGAUGCAACAAAAGGAUUCAUUCAAAGCCUUUACGCCGAAAGGACUAAGAGCUCCCAGGAAGGACGAGAGACACAAAUAUCUAUUUCUCUUACUUAUGAUAUUCUGACUUAUGAUAUGGAUUUGUCAAGCUUUUAGACUUGGAAGGACUGGCGCACUCUAUAGACAAAAAAGAGUCAGACCAUGGAUCUUAUAAUACGUGACCGGUGUACUUACUUCAACACAAUAAGCGUGGGCCUCUUCUAGAGAAGCACAGUCUUUGUCUUGGUCCCAACUACAUCUGCUAUAGCAUUUGAAAACGGUGUUUUUUGUAUGUAUUUCGCGGAACCCAAUAACUGAAACCUAAAACUAGCUGGUGCGAAAUGAAGACCACCGCGGUAAACUGCGCAUCGUGUUAAGGCUAGGUUGAAUCUAUAAUAGACAGGAAACAUCUGUUCUACUUACUAUAGGGGACGACGGUUCAAGCUACAUCGGAGCCAAAGAUUCCUUCUAUAAACACUAAGCCCAGCGGCCCAAGCGGCCUUUGCAAGACUCGCCUCCAAUAAAUUGUAUAACUUGGAGCAAGUAUUGACUUUGCCUGACCUACAAAAAACCAUAGAGUCAUUUCAUAGAUUCAAAAGCUUCCUCCCAAUAGAAACUAUGAAAUCCAAACUCUACAAGGUUAGAGUAAACAUCAUAUAGAUAAUAGGGGUCUAGCACAGCCUCUUCUCCAAUCACCAUCCUCUUUCGGGAGACCCGUUUUUUGGCGCCCCUAUUUCCUCUAUCUUCUCUUGAAAGAAACCAGAAAAAGAAUCCGGUUUGUUUUCACUGAGAUCUUGUGUAGAAGAAGAGUCAUUUCGGACCCAAGUGUAUGCCUCAGAAGCCUUACUAGUUUCAUCAGCACGGCUUUCCGAAUGACUAGUUAUAUCUGCGGAGAUAGAAUGAGAAAGGUUACGCGAUUUCAACGAAAUUGUUCUAUAGUUCUCGGGUCAAGGUUCGACCCAUUAAGAAAAAGACGGUUCAUACCUUCGGUAAACUAAGAAAUGCCCAUUCCUUCGAGACAGAAACACUUUUGGAGUUGUGCGAGACAGAAACACUUUUGGAGUUGGUUGUUUACCAACAUAAAGCAUGGGAGAAAAGGCGCCCUAUCGUAUGGAGGUGAUACACUGUUUUUCGAUUUGAAUAGAAAGAAGGCUGGGUCCUGGAGAUGCUGGAAGCAGCUGUUUGAUAGUGCGGGAAGACCUGGCUAAGCAAAUAAGGUAAACAAGAAUUCUAGAUGGGGAAGUCAAGUGGAAGGCGGGUUAGGUAACCAAGUCUUACAUUCAUUCGCUUUCUUUUCUGUGAAAGUCAAUCAGAAGGCUCAGCUCAAGUGAGUAAUUCGAAAAGGGGGCGGGUCUCUUUCAUAGUGUUUUAUCGGGUGAUGGGGAAUCCCGACAGUAGAAAGGGUAGAUCGAAAUAAUCAGAAAGACCAAACUACUAGCUUCAAGCUCGAGCACACAUAAAUAGGAGAUCCCUCGUCUCACCUUUGCGGAUCCGAGAGCAUGGCUAACUUAUUUUAGGGACUCCCGCUUCUAGCAAUAGUGAAGAUCCGACCGCCCGAAUCCUGUUUAGGUACUUAGGUACAACAGCUCAGAGGAGAGCAUUUCCACUUUAGCAUAAUACUCUAUACUCGAGCAUUUCCACUUUAGCAUAAUACUCUAAACUCUAGAUAGAACAUU
rnacentral:lncRNA from 1 species